rnacentral:tRNA from 1 species
GCGUCGAGUAGUGCGGCGAGCAGGUUGUUGGCUGCACCGACGGCGUGAAUGUCACCGGUAAAGUGGAGGUUCAAGUCCUCCAUCGGCACG